AACCAAUGUUUGUGUAACCAAUUCAUUUUCCAAGCCUGAAUAGAAUAACCAAUUUCGUAUCGAUAACUCGUAAAUUUUUUACGAGUGGGACGAAAUGUUUAAAAAUAUCGCCUCGUGUCAUUAAGCUUGUUUCUUUUUAUCGUUUACUCGUACAAGUCACGAGUUACAAGACUCGUAUUUAAAAUGAUUUAUGUCUCAAACAACUGAAAAAUAAUUAAGGUUAAGUUCACGUAUCUACGCGGAUAAAAAGAUCGAGGAAUCGUAAAAUUUACGAUUCCGUGUAUUUCAUUAUAAUUAUUCACGAUCAAAUCUCGACGAAACAAAACGAGAGAACGAAAUAUUCUUAUACUUUAGAAACGCGUAUCUCUCUCGAAUUAUACUCAACCGUUUCUCCUCUCCCUUUUUCCACCAACCGGAAUCUUCUCUCUUCGAUCGAACCAAGGUAACCAAGGAUCGAUCGACGUUCAACGUCGAGGAGGAUUGAUUCGUCAUCCAUCCAGGGGCCGCUGCUAUCGUGUUUUUUGCCCGCGAUCCCCCGACUAGUCACCAGUCAUCUUCCACGUCGUAGUUUUCGUGUUCUUGUCGACGGACGCCGUCGUGGAUCGGUCCCGGGUCGUUUAAUUAAAUACAGUUUUUCAUACGGUAGGCCGAAUCCGCGGUCGCCCCGCUGGGACGAAGGGAAGACGCGAUGCAGGAUGCGCCGGCAAAUAAAUCAAAAGAUGUAGAGGGCACCGUCUUCCUGGAAGGCAAACACCAAUCGAUGGUGUAAUUAGUGGGGACAUCUUUCCGCUUGAUUUUGGAGAAAAAUUGUCCAGUGGAGUGGAGAUACGAAUAAAACAAAGUCACGAUAGAGAGUAUCGAGUGUUGUAGCAGCAGCAUCGAGAGGAGAAGAGACACAACAAGAUAUAUAUUUUGAGUGGAAGAGACGACACGACACGGGUUACAGGCAUAAACGUCCCGUAACUUGACCUGGACUCGAUCUCUCCAGCAAGGAAUGCGCACCGUGACAACCGAUGCGCGUCUGUUCUUCGUCGAUGGCAUCCACAUGUCACCAAUCCUUGUCCGUUGGCUACCCAACGGUCCCAUGGAUCGUGUACUACUCUGUUAGAAUUGCUUUCGAGCUGUAACUCAUGUCUCCUGCUUCUUUGUUCGGAUUCCAACAUCGGCUGCACACGAUCCAAGCCUCAUUUGAGUACUUCAAUUAACCUGGUUAUCCCAUAUAAUAUUGGAACGAAAUUGCUCUAUGCAAUUAUAUUAUAUUAUAUAAAAAUCGAAAAGAUUAUUAUUAUUAAUUUUGAAAUCUAACUCGAUUUGACAAAAUUGGACAAGGAUUUAAACAAUUUGAAAUUUAAUUUUCAGAAUUGGAAAAGAGUCGAAUAUUCGACCAAAAAUGUACACAGCGGGGCAGAAAAAUUAGCAUUAUCCCCAUAACAACCACGUCGACGAUCCCGUCGAAAAACCGAUCCCGAAAACGAGAGAGAGAGAGAAAAGAAGAAAAACAAACGACAAGGCUCUAUAGAGAGAGACAUCGAUCGGUCGUUUAAUUGCGCUUUUUACGGUCAAUUAUCUCGUUAGACGGCGGUGCCCCGCUGCUUCCAGAAUGUUAAUCCACGGGGACUGCCGCCGGGCCGGGCACAAGGCGGACGGUGGCGUUUCUUUCCGUAUCGGUGUGCCCCUGCGGUCCCAUAAUCGAGGUGGGGUGGGGUGGGGGUCUGGCGAGAUUCGAACGAGAACUUUUUCACCUGGGCCCCUCAGGAACACCGGGAACCCCGCUGGCGUAAUUAACAUUCGCCACGUUUAGCCGGUCCUCGCCGUGCUUCUUGCCACCGGCCAUGCGCCCCCUCUCCUCUCCGCCCCGAACCUCCCCUCCCCCUCCUCCACCUCCCGCGAGCCAGACGCUGAUUGAGACGUGACUACGGGAUGACGUGCCGCUCCGCCGGCUUUGUUGCGCCAUCGGAAACUCUGUUCGCGCUCCUAGCUAACCGCGUGGUGAGGUUAUGUUGAUUUAACGAUUCCAAAGUAAAAGAUGCGAUUCUUUGUUGCUUUGGUUACUCUUGUUGUAUUGUUUUCGCGUAUAGCUUUCGUUUAGUAUGUGGAUAUUUUAUUUGAUGUGUAGUUACUUUGGAAAUUGUCGAUUGUUAAAAAAUGAUUGUUUGAGGUUAUGUAUGAAUC
rnacentral:lncRNA from 1 species